AUUCUAAGAGGAGAUAAUAUAUUGUUGUUAACUAGAAUGCGGUAGAAAAGAAUUAUGAGCAAUAAAUUAUCCGUUCCCCUUUAGGCUUCGGUCGUCCUAUAUAUCAAAUUUUUGUUACAUGUUAUUAAUGACGACUGCAUUGUAGGAUGUUGUAUCUGUAUUUCCGCAAGGAAGGUGAUAGUUUAAAGAACCAACAUUCAAUUCUCUUGCAAUGUGUUUGCUUGGAUGAAUUAAUAUAUACGGCUAUAGAAGUUCAGAGAUGUGAACUAAACUGUGUUAUUUGAUUUAUGAGUAUGGGAAUUUUUGUGGAACAUGCAUAGAAUUUGAGGGCUCAACUCCUGCUAUUCUAACCUCAAAUGUGGAAUAGUGGAAUUGGGUGGAAAUUGCUCCUCCAAGUGAAAUACAGGCACAACUUCUAACCUGUUUUCUAAGAAGCAGUCUGAGAUGAGACUUUCUUUUCCGUUGGUUCCCAUCCUGCCUCUCCAAUAAUUUAAUUGUCCUUUGUUAUGAUGACCUAAGUUGCAAUUUUCUAUUCUCAAACUCAUGAACAAUACAAUGGACUAAGCCUUUGUUUAGAUGCGUAAAAAGGAAACUGCAAAGUACUGUAGCACUUUAGUUUGUAUUUGAUAAUUAUUGUCCGAUCAUGAGUUAAUUAGCUUUAAAAGAUUUGUCUCGUAAAUUAUAGACAAACUGUGUAAUUAGUUAUUUUGUUUAACUAUAUUUAAUACUUCAUGCAUGGGUUUAAAAAUUUGAUGUGAUGUGAAAUCUUGUAAAAUUUUGGAAUUUUGAAGGAAACUAAACAAGCGCUAAGAUUAAGAACACCCAUGUGAACACGCUAAACAAAAAAAAUGUGUCUAGCCCACGUGCUUCACCCAUGUGAACAUGCUAAACAAAAAAAUGUGUCUAGCUCACGUGCUUCGCCGCCAGCCAGGCGGCUAGCAGAUCUGGGUUUUUUUUUUUUUUUGAGCGGAGCAGAUCUGCGGGUUGAUUAACUUCACCGCUACGGUAAAAAAAAAGCGGCAACUAGCAGAAUUACCCUGAAGGCCUGGUGGGCCCAUGCGGCUCAACCCGAGUAGUCUGACGAAACUGCCCACUCCCCCUCCCCCCAGCCGCCUCGCCGCCGCCCCCUCGCAUCCGCAGUUCCGCACCUUUGGCCCGGCCGACGUCUCCCGCAGAAGCAGGGGUUACUCGGGGCACGUGCCACCACUGCGCCAUGUCGGCGGCGGCGCGGGUGCUGCCGAAGGCGGUGACCUUCGUGACCGGCAACGCCAAGAAGCUUGAGGAGGUCCGCGCCAUCCUCGGCUCCUCCGUCGCUCAAGCUCGACCUGCCUGAACUGCAAGGAGAGCCAGAGGACAUAUCCAAAGAGAAAGCAAGAAUGGCUGCAUCUCAGGUGAAUGGGCCCGUACUGGUUGAGGACACAUGCCUAUGUUUCAAUGCACUCAAAGGCUUACCAGGACCCUACAUAAAGUGGUUUCUUGAGAAGAUUGGCCAUGAAGGUUUGAACAACCUUUUAAAAGCUUAUGAAGAUAAAUCAGCAUUUGCUAUGUGCAUCUUUUCUCUUGCUCUUGGACCAGGAGACGAACCAAUCACGUUUGUCGGAAAAACUGCGGGAAAAAUAGUACCCGCUAGAGGGCCUAGUGAUUUUGGAUGGGACCCUGUAUUCCAGCCAUAUGGUUUUGAACAAACCUAUGCUGAGAUGCCCAAGUCCGUGAAGAAUGAAAUAUCUCACAGAGGGAAAGCUCUUGCUCUGGUGAAAGAACACUUUGCAUCGGCCAACUAUACAGUUCAGAGUGAUGGCUCUGCUUGAAUAUGUUUUCGCUUCCCACAGGGUUGAACAUUAUGGAAUGUAAACUGAACUAGUUCUAUUGAAGAUUGUACUUAUUCUUAAAAGUGCUUGAUUGAUUCCACAGAUCGUAUAUUUAUUUGAUCAGGCAAUAGUUGGUGCCAAUUAUGAACUCAACACUCAUUUCCAUGUAAAAGAAUCGCUAUGGGAAAUCAGAUUCCCAUGAUUAUUAUCUU